GAUUAGUGGCGAACGGGUGAGUAACACGUGAGUAACCUGCCCCUGACUCUGGGAUAAGCCUGGGAAACUGGGUCUAAUACUGGAUAUGCACCGUAGACCGCAUGGUUUUUGGUGGAAAGAAUUUUGGUCAGGGAUGGACUCGCGGCCUAUCAGCUUGUUGGUGAGGUAAUGGCUCACCAAGGCGACGACGGGUAGCCGGCCUGAGAGGGUGACCGGCCACACUGGGACUGAGACACGGCCCAGACUCCUACGGGAGGCAGCAGUGGGGAAUAUUGCACAAUGGGCGAAAGCCUGAUGCAGCGACGCCGCGUGAGGGAUGACGGCCUUCGGGUUGUAAACCUCUUUCAGUAGGGAAGAAGCGAAAGUGACGGUACCUGCAGAAGAAGCGCCGGCUAACUACGUGCCAGCAGCCGCGGUAAUACGUAGGGCGCAAGCGUUAUCCGGAAUUAUUGGGCGUAAAGAGCUCGUAGGCGGUUUGUCGCGUCUGCCGUGAAAGUCCGAGGCUCAACUUCGGAUCUGCGGUGGGUACGGGCAGACUAGAGUGAUGUAGGGGAGACUGGAAUUCCUGGUGUAGCGGUGAAAUGCGCAGAUAUCAGGAGGAACACCGAUGGCGAAGGCAGGUCUCUGGGCAUCUACUGACGCUGAGGAGCGAAAGCAUGGGGAGCGAACAGGAUUAGAUACCCUGGUAGUCCAUGCCGUAAACGUUGGGCACUAGGUGUGGGGGACAUUCCACGUUUUCCGCGCCGUAGCUAACGCAUUAAGUGCCCCGCCUGGGGAGUACGGCCGCAAGGCUAAAACUCAAAGGAAUUGACGGGGGCCCGCACAAGCGGCGGAGCAUGCGGAUUAAUUCGAUGCAACGCGAAGAACCUUACCAAGGCUUGACAUGUGCUAGAUCGCCAUAGAAAUAUGGUUUCCCCUUUGGGGCUGGUUCACAGGUGGUGCAUGGUUGUCGUCAGCUCGUGUCCUGAGAUGUUGGGUUAAGUCCCGCAACGAGCGCAACCCUCGUUCUAUGUUGCCAGCACGUUAUGGUGGGGACUCAUAGGAGACUGCCGGGGUCAACUCGGAGGAAGGUGGGGACGACGUCAAAUCAUCAUGCCCCUUAUGUCUUGGGCUUCACGCAUGCUACAAUGGCCGGUACAAUGGGUUGCGAUACUGUGAGGUGGAGCUAAUCCCAAAAAGCCGGUCUCAGUUCGGAUUGGGGUCUGCAACUCGACCCCAUGAAGUCGGAGUCGCUAGUAAUCGCAGAUCAGC
rnacentral:rRNA from 1 species